rnacentral:rRNA from 1 species
UACGUAGGGGGCAAGCGUUGUCCGGAUUUAUUGGGCGUAAAGGGCGCGCAGGCGGCGCUUCAAGUCCGUUGUGAAAUUUCAGGGCUUAACCCUGACGGGUCAACGGAAACUGAAGGGCUAGAGUGCAGCAGAGGAAAGCGGAAUUCCCGGUGUAGUGGUGAAAUGCGUAGAUAUCGGGAGGAACACCGGUGGCGAAGGCGGGUCUCUGGGCAAUUCCUGACGCUGAGGCGCGAAAGCGUGGGGAGCAAACGGG